AGAAAAAUAAAUAUUUUGAUAACUAAAUUUAUUUUGAUAAAUUGUAUGAAAAUUAGUGCUAAUAAAAAUACUAAUAAAAAUUUAUUUGGAAAAUAAAUAUAAAAUACACAUGUAUUGUUUGCAUUUUAAUUUCUCAAGCAUUGGAAUCACUCUUUAUGUAAAUCACUAUAUUGGGAAAGCUUUACUGGAAUGUUUUGGUUUAUUAUUCUUCUGGAAAGAUUAGAAUAUAACAGUGUCACCAUGCAAAUUCCAGUGUCAGUUAUAUCAAAACUAUAAUAAUUGCACUGAAUCAUAUGAAUUACAAUAAAAGCCAGAGAAUUGAAUAACUCUAGAAAACGCUUGGAGAUCUACUUUCAUCUGCCUUUAAGUUGUGCAUACAUGUAUUGCCCAGAUCCUGCAUAGUGAUAAGACGCAUUUGUAACCUGCUCGUCACGUUCGUUGCUACUUACCAUUAUUACUUCGAAAAUAUGUUGAUCCCUUCAGGCAGAGCCCCGGUCUGAUCCAUUGGACAAGCUGAUACUUGUAUCCGCUAUCUAUAUUCUAGAUAACAAUCGCAUCUGGAAAACUUUGUUAUACAUAAAUCGUAGUAAAAAAUAUAAUACUAAUAUAUAUCAAACUCCACGAAUAAGAUAUUACCUGUGUACUAUGUUUGCCCACAUUAUAAUUGAUUUUAUUGUCUAGUAGUCUUCAGCGAAGUCAUACGUUUACCCAUCGAAGAACAAUUAAUUAUUCCACGAAGACAUGUCAAACUCCAUUAAUUAAUUACUAGGAUCCUGAUAUUUCUUGAUGCCUCCACCACCAACAUCCAGUAAAAUAUAUUAAAAGUAACAACAAAAAAUGUUUCUACUACGCUUUUCAGGACCUUCAUUGAUUUCGUCAGCGGAUCACUAACUUCACUAUCUGUUGGAGAGGCUGUUUAAUUGUAUGACCUUGAACGUUGACUUAUCGUAUUCCAAUAAGCUGUGACAGUCAGUAUGUGAAACCGUUGUGCUAGCUUAAGUUAUCCUAAGCUUAAAUAAUUUUAGCAACUAAAUAU